rnacentral:lncRNA from 1 species
ACACACACACACACACGUGUGCAUACACACAGAGGGACACACGCACAUGCACGCACGCACAAAAUCAGGUGGUGAGGAAGCCAAAUGGGCAGCAUGAAAUAUACAGAAGAGAACAGAUGACUAAAAGAAGUAAGAAGUAAGUAAGUAAGAAGGGGCUGGGGAUUUAGCUCAGUGGUAGAGCACUUACCUAGGAAGCGCAAGGCCCUGGGUUCGGUCCCCAGCUCCAAAAAAAAAAAAAAGUAAGUGAAAGGUUACUUACUAUCCCAGUCCAUGCCUUGACAGUCAAAAGAAAGAAGAGAGGUGUGAGAGUUGAGAAAGAGACCAGAGAGUGAACAGGGUUGUGCGGACACCGAGGCAGGAGGGCCAAGAGAAAGUAACAAAGAGGGUCUCUGUUCCCUAGAGCUCCGAGUGCAGCAGAUGGUUUCCAUGGGCAUUGGGAAUAAACCUUUCCUGGACAUUAAAGCCCUUGGGGAACGGACACUGAGUGCCCUGCUCACUGGAAGAGCCGCCCGAACCCGGGCCUCCGUAGCCGUGUCAUCCUUUGAGCAUGCUGGCCCGUCCCUUCCCGGCCUCUCACCGGGAGCCUGCUCCCUGCCUGCCCGCGUCGAGGAGGAGGCCUGGGAUCUGGACGUCAAGCAGAUUUCCCUGGCCUCAGAAACACUUGACUCUUCUGGAGAUGUGUCCCCAGGACCAAGAAACAGUCCCAGCCUGCAGUCCCCCAACCCUGGGAGCAGUACUCCUGCUCUGAGCAGUGGCGGGAUCUUAGGGCUAUCCAGGCAGAGUCAUUCCCGAGCCCUGAGUGACCCCACCACGCCUCUGUGAACUAGAGAAGAUCCAGCUUUGCAGCCCCUUCUCAGCACAUUCUUGGCUGGGAUGCCACUGGGACAAAAUGGAGGACCUAAGCUCACAGGUUCCCUCCCUCUGUUUCCUGGACAGAGAGGAGGGCGGGGACCAGAGCUUCCCCUGCCACCACUGUCUAGCUCUCCCCUGCUUGGUGCCUUUUGCUGCAGGAACCAGAGUGACCCUGUUUGCUUGCCUUUAUGCACUGGGGACAGGGAAAUGUCCCUCUUGCUAUGCAACUGCACACCCCUGGGACACUGCUCUGAUGACAACCCACUAUUCUUCCCAGAAGACUCAUCUCGGCCAGGCUGAAUGGAAUUCCAUUCUGGGGUAUCACGGGAAAUGAAGUGUUCUAAGCCACUGAAGGAGAUGGGGUGGGCAUUGCAGACUUUAUAUGUAAUUACUGUUAUUAUACUAUUUACAUUAAAUGUAUUUACUCUC